GGUCAGAUUUUCCCAAAAUGGCCACCUCCAGAGAAAGGCACAGCUGCUGAAUACUCCCGAGAGUUUUGCUUUCAAUGUCCUUCCCUCACAACAAGCCAUGUUCACCCCUCUUUUCCCAGGUUGUCCUCCAAGAACUUCAGUCAGAUUUGACUCAGAUUCCCAUGGAGACUUUGCUCUGCCCUGGCACCCAGUGCACGUGAAAGUCCGUUUGCACCUUUUAAGAAUGGGGUCUCUGUUUCCCCCAGUACCAUGGAGUUCCUGCACACAAGGUCCACUGGCCUUCAGUGCCAGAUGCUCCGGGGCUCUUUCUUCCUGUGCCAGAUCCCCACACGUGAGAGUUUGAUGUGUGACUCAGAACUCUCACUCCUGUAGGUGAGUCUCUGUGAACCAGUUAGUUUCCAUUCUGUGGAGCUGCCCACCCAGAGGUAUGGGGUUGAUUAUAUCACGAAAUCACCCCUUCUACCUCUUGAUGUGUCUUCCUCUUUUUCUUCUGGAGUAGGAUACAUUUUUUAAGGUUUCCAGUGCAUUUGGGUGAAGAAUGCUCAGCCUUUAGUUGUGAAUUUUGUUGUUUUUAGGAGAGAAGUUGAGCUCCAGUCCUUCUAUUCCACCAUCUUAAUCCCGUCCCUAUCAUAUAUCAAGUUCCUAUAUGUGACCAGGUCUGUUUCUUGGCAACUUUGUACUUAUGAUGAAGCUACUGUUUCAAAAUUAUUAUAGCUUUAAAAUAUGUCUUUAUCUGGUAGGACAAGUUGCUCUUGUUUUCUUUCAGGAUUGUCUUAGCUAGUCUUGGACUUGUGAUUUUCCAAGUGAGUUUAAAAUUUUUGUGAUUUCACGGAAGAUUUUAUUGAGAUUUGGAUUGGAAUGACAAUGAAUUAUAGAUUAAUUUUGGGGAAUUGACAUCUUUGAUAUGGAGCCUUCCCAUCUAUAAAUGUUUUUCAUGUCUGUUUUAAAGAAAGCUUAUAAAAUUAUAAUUUACAAAGCAGAAAAUUCACUCAUUUCAAGUAUACAACUCAAUAAUGUUUAGUAAACUUAUGCAAUCAUCACCAUAAGCAAGUUUCAGAACAUUUUCAUCAGAUUGACUUUUUUUUUUUUUUUUGGUCUUUUGCCUUUUCUAGGGCUGCUCCUGUGGCAUGUGGAGAUUUCCCAGGCUAGGGGUCUAAUCAGAGCUGUAUCCGCUGGCCUACGCCAGAGCCACAGCAACAGGGGAUCUGAGCCACAUCCGUGACCUACACUACAGCUCACAUCAACACCAGAUCCUUAACCCACUGAGCAACGUCAGGGAUUGAACCCGCAACCUCAUGAUUCCUAGUCGAAUUCCUUAACCACUGAGCCAUGAUAGGAGCUCCACAGAUUGACUUUCACAUCCUUUCAUAAUGUUUUAUAAUUUUCUUCAUAAAUAAUCCUGCUUAACAUCUUUUUUUUUUUUAAAGUGUUAUUCUUAGCUGAUUUGUGUGUGUGUGUCUUGUGACAUUUAAUGGUAAUUUUGCCUAUUAUAUUUUCUAAUCAAGUAUUUCUUGCAUAUAGAAAUGCUUUUGAUUUUUCUAUUUCUAUCUUAUAUCCAGCAACCUUGCUGAAAUUUGUUGUUACUUCCAAUGACAUUUCUGCAGAUCCUCUUGGCUUUUCUACAUGGGCAAUUCUACCAUGUCCACAUAAUUUAUUUCAUCUCUUUCUUUCUGGUCCUUAUACCUAUGACUUUCCUUGUAAUACUUUGGCUAGGACCUCUGUUAUUAUGCUGAAUGACUGUAGUGUCUUAUUUCUGAUGCCCAUGGGAAAGCUUUUAAAAUUUAUCCUGUAGUAUAAUCUUUUUGUAGACCUUUAUACCAAGUUAGAUGUUACUUCUAUUUCAACAUUGUUAUUUCCUUUUGUUUGUUCAGUUGUGGUGGUGGUGGUUGUUAACAGUGCUUGAGCAUCCACUUUUUCUGAUCUUUACUCUUCUUCUAGGCAGGAAUUUACUGAGUUCCAGGAUCAGCAGUUAGUUAAGUCUCACAAAUCAUGUGGCUUUUUCUCCUGUGAGGCUUUAUGCAGGUAGCUCAUUGUGUACAUGUGUGGCCUAGUACUUAUUCCUGACUCAGAACUGAUACACACGCACUCGUAAUCUUUGGCUGUAGCUUCCACACAGCUGUUGAUGUUGAGUUUCUUAUUUAUUUCUGGCACCUGGGGAUUUCUGUUGUUUGGCUUUGAACUUGGAUAUACAUUUAAAACAAAAAUUUUUUUUUGAAUUUCUAUGUUUUUAAAGUAGGAGUGGAGAAAAGAGGCUGUUUCCCAGUUUGACUCAGUGAGCCAUGUUGAAUGGACACUUACUUCUAAAAUUAUACAGUGAGAACCUACUGUAUAGUGUUGGAAAAUCUCAAUAGUUUGUAAUAAUCUUUCUGGGAAAAAGAAUGGAUAUGUUUGUAUGUAUGACUGAUUCACUUUGCUGUGCACCUGAAACUAGUGCAACAUUGUAAGUCAACCACACUCCAGUAAAAUUAAAUUAAAAAAAUUCUGCAGAUCAGAUUUACUCAGAAUGUUUUAUUCAUUCUAAAAAUUUAUAGCAACACUGUCCAAUAUUACUUUCUGCAGUGAUGAAGAUAUUUUGCUUCUGUGCUCUGCAAUAUGAUCAUCACUAGCCACACAUCGCUAAUCAGCAUUUGGAAUGGGGCUAGUGUGAUCAACGAACUGAAUUUUAAAUUUUACUUAAUUGUGAGAGGGGAAGUAAGAUGGUGGAGUAACAGGACAUAAGGCUCAUAUACUCCCACAAAUACAUUGAAAAUACAACUAUAUGUGGAACUAUUCACACAGGAAAUUUGUGAAAACCUGAAAAAGACCCCAAGAUUAUGAUAGAGCAAGAAAAACAUUAGAACACAAGAAAGACAAAGAGUAAGAGAAAAAAGAAUGAAAAGGAAAUGAGAUGGGACCUGCCCUCCCAGGAGGGAGCUAGAAGGAGGAAUAGCUUCUGCACUCUGGGAAGUUUCCCCACCAGAGAUGAGAUCAGCCAAAAACAGAGGAGGAGCUCUGAAUGGUCUGAAGCAGUUAAGAAGGAAACAGACCUCCACAAAUGGUCAGUGCUAUUGCAACAGGCAUCUGUAGGCGGGUGCCAGCAGGUGUUGGGAACUAAAACUUUGGCCUUAGAGAUCAGACCCAAAGAGGGAGCUGGGGGCAGUUACGUGGGGAAGAAAAGGGGUUGGACAUGCAGAAACCACCUGGAGGGACUAGAGUAUGGGGCAACCACAAUGGAGAGCAUCUAAGCAGAGGCAACCCAGUUGGGUUUGGAGACUAGAUGCCAUUGUUUGGAGGUGUUAGAAGGAAGGGGCGGGAUCCACCACUACAGCUUUGUUCCCUAAGCCCACUUUCUCAAGCUGCAGGACACUCCUUGCCUCAGCUCAGGAACCACUUGGCAGUAGUGGUUGGCAAUGGCUGGGAAGCAGCCCUGCCCUUAGGGCUACAGACUUCUUGGAGCAGGUGGAGUAACUGCCUGGAAGAAUAACACAAGUUCCUGGUUCCUGCUGCUGGGGGCCCCUCACUAGUAGAGUCCAACCUGCACCAGAAGAGCUGCCAGCCAUGGUGGUGCUCAUCCCCUGAGAGAGCAGGGAAAACACAGGUGAUUUGGCUCCACCCAGAGAAUCUGCAGGGGCUCCGACCAGCAGGGCAGCGCCAGAAAAGCUGCUGGUGGUGGUGCUCGCUUUCUGAUGGAGUUGUGCGCUGCCCAACUAGGGAAAAGCACAAGAUACAGGACCCCAGCCAGUGGCCCUGUGAAGGCUUAUGUCAAUGGCACUCUUUCCACUGAGAAAGAGUGGAGAAAGAUUGGGAUUGCAAUCUCAAUCUGCAGGACUGCAGAGAGUACUACCAGCAGCAAGGAAGGGGGAGGGACUGCCAGAAACACAUCCUGCAGCUACAGAGACAGCCUGUGAGUGACAAUUAGGGAGACGCCCCCACCCUUGAGACUUUAGAAAGAGAGCCCUAGGGUGGCCAAGCAAGGAGAAUGCCAGCAAAGCAGUGGAACAUGCUCCCAUCUCUACAGAGAACAGUCCCUAAAGCCUACUCAGCAAAGUGGUGCACAUGAACCACUACCACCCCUGAGAACUCCAGGACUGGGCAUCUGCUUCAACAUCUGCAUUCUAACUUCAGGGGACAAUUAACAGAAAAGUAAACACUAUGAAAUACCAAAGAAGUAUCCUUUAGACAAAGGAACAAGACAGGAAUACAUAAAAACCACUAAAUGAUGAGGAGAUAAGCAAAUGGACCUGACAAAGAAUUCAGAGUGAUAAUAGGAAAGAUGAUCCAAGGUCUUGGAAAAAGAAUGGAGACACUGAUUGAAAACUUAAAAAAGAAUGUUUAACAAAGAGCUAGAGGAUUUGAAAAGGAAAAUGAAUAGUGUGAUAGCUGAAAUGAAAAAUAAUCUAGAAGGAACCAAUAGCAGGUUAACAGAGGCAGAAGAACGAGUAAGUGAGGUGGAAGACAGGGUGAUGGAAAUCACUGCUACAGAAAAGAACAAAGAAAAAAAGAAAAACACUGAGGAGAGUCUAAGAGACUUCUGGGACAACAUUAAAUGUACCAACAUUCGCAUAAUGGAGGUUUCAAAAGGGGAGGGGAGAGAAAAAGGGCCAGAGAAAAUAUUUGAAGAGUUUGUAACUGAAAAUUUCCCAAAUAGGGAAAGGAAACACUCAAGUGGAAGAAGCACAGAGAAUUCCAUACACAGUAAGCUGCGGAAGAAAUACAGCAAGACACAUACUAAUCAAACUGACAAAAAUUAAGUUCAGAGAAAAAAAUAUUAAGAGCUGCAAGGGAGAAGCAACAAAUCACAUAUAAGGGAAUUCCCAUAAGGAUAACAGCAUAUCUCAGGAGAUCUACAAGCCAGAAGAGAGUGGCAAAAUAUAUUUGAGGUGAUGAAGAGGAGGAACCUAUAAUGAAGAAUACUCUACCCAGCAAAUUUCACAUUCAGAUUUGAUGGAGAGAGAAAAAGCUUCACAGACAAGCAAGAGCUAAGAGAAUUCAGCACCUCCAAACCAGCUCUACAUCAACUACUAAAGGAACUUCUCUAAGCAGAAAAGAAAAAGCGACAAUUUGAAAGGAGAAUAUUAAAAAUGAAGAAGCUCACUGGUAAAGGCAAAGAUAAUUUAAAAGUAGGAAAUCACCCAUUGACAAAUAUGAUAUCUAGCAAGCAUGAGAAGAGAGGACAAAUGCAGAACAUUGAAAAUGCAUUUGAAAUUAAGGAGAGCAGCAGGACAAAACAAUUCUGGACACAUAUAGAUGGAUAUAUCAAAAUAUAAGGGGAACCACUAGUCAAAUAACUAAUGGUCACACACACAAAAAGGAAAAACCAAGCAAAACAUAACAGUAAACAUGGUCAGCAAAUCACAAGAAAAGAUGAAAAAAAAAAAAAAAAAAAGGAAGACAAAAGAUCCAAAAUAGCAAUCCAAAAAUAAUUCUUUUAAAGUAAAUGACAAUAAAUACAUACUUAACCAUAAUUGCAUUGAAUGUAAAUGGAUUAAAUGCUCCAACUAAAAGCAAAAGACUAAUUGAAUUGAUUCAAAAGCAAGACCCAUAUAUGUACUUUCUACAGGGUACCCACUUCAGAUCUCUGGACACGUACAGACUUAAAGUGAGGGGAUGGAAUAAAAUAUUACAUGCAAAUGGAAAUUGUAGAAAAGCAGGAGUAGCAGUACUCAUAUCAGACAAAAUAGAUUUUUAUUUAUUUAUUUAUUUAUUUUGCUAUUUAGGCCUGGACCCACGGCAUAUGAAAGUUCUCAGACUAGGGGUCUAAUUGAAGCUACAGCUGCCGACCUACACCACAGCCACAGCAACAGCAACAGCAACACCAGAUCUGAGCUGCAUCUGCAACAUACACCACAGCUCACAGCAAUACCUGAUCCUUAGCCCACUGAGCAAGGCCAGGGAUUGAACCUGCAACUUCAUGGUUCCUAGUCAGAUUCAUUUCCACUGCACCAUGAUGGGAACUCUAGACAAAAUAGAUUUUAAAAUAAAGAAGGUCACAGGAGGCAAAGAAGGACAUUACAUAAUGAUCAAAGGAUCGAUGCAAGAAGAAGAAAUAACAAUUUUAAAUAUGUAGGCACCCAAUAUAGGAGCAGUACAAUAUAGAAGGCAACUACUAAUAGCCAUAAAAGGGGAAGUUGACAGUAACACAAUUAUAGUGUGAGACUUUAACACCCACUUAUAGCAAUGGAUAGAUCAUCCAGACAGAAAAUCAGCAAGGAAACACAGGCCUUAAGUAAUGCACUAGACCAAACAGACAACUGAUAUCUAUAGAAAUUUUCACUCCAAAGCAGCAGAAUACACUUUCUUUUCAGGUGCACAUGGGAGGUUCUCCAGGAUAGAUCACAUCUUGGGCCACAGAUCAAGCCUUGAUAAAUUUUUAAAAAUUGAAAUUAUUUUAAGCAUUUUCUCUGAUUACAAUGCUACGAGACUAGAAAAAAACUGCAAGAAAAGAGGCAAAAACCAUACAUUCUUAGAAGCUAAACAAUAUGCUACUGAACAAUCAAUGGAUCAUUGAAGAA
rnacentral:lncRNA from 1 species